UACGUAGGUGGCAAGCGUUGUCCGGAAUUACUGGGCGUAAAGGGCUUGUAGGUGGCCAACUAAGUCAGACGUGAAAUCCCUCAGCUUAACUGGGGAACUGCGUCUGAUACUGGAUGGCUUGAGUUUGGGAGAGGGAUGCGGAAUUCCAGGUGUAGCGGUGAAAUGCGUAGAUAUCUGGAGGAACACCGGUGGCGAAGGCGGCAUCCUGGACCAACACUGACACUGAGGAGCGAAAGCCAGGGGAGCAAACGGG
rnacentral:rRNA from 1 species